AUUUCGCUACGUACAGAGAUCCGACGAGCCCCAAUGUCCCCACUCUUAUGAACGUGAACGAAUAAACGUGUCCACACCCGAGCCAUACAAAGAGGAUCGCCGAUAGCGUGUAAGGUCGUGGACCGGAGAAUUGAUCUACGAAAACAGCGAUCAAUCAUAACAAAUUAGCCAUUGUGAAGAUCAUAUGUGCAUAUAUUGACCCUUAGCUAAAUUGCGAAGUUAAACUUAUCCUAUUAUUGAUCAGAUUGUAUCUACAAAUCUAAAUCUACAUACUAUCCAAAACAGGUAUAGUAAUACCGUUGAAUUAAAGAUUGCGCCACAAUUUAACAUGCAAAUAGAAGAUGCAAAGUUUAACCCAUGUUAUACUACCUUACAGUGAAGUCCGGCGGUAUUUGGCAUAACAGGGUACUGAACUAAAGUAGUUAUACUUAAUAUCUACUUAUGCUAAGGUGAGAUCGAUUAAAUACUUAUGAUUAGUAGACUAAACAAACAUAUAAAUCCAGUAGGUAUCCGCUCGAAUUCUGUGACUGGAAAAAUUAGAGGAAACUUUCCUUUUAUCAUCUCUAGAAUAACUGUGGUGAGACUAUUUUUUCUCAGUGAUAUUCAAACUUGAGUUCUUAUAAUAACUAUAUUGUGUAGGCACUCAUCCAGAGAAAUAGUUGUACUCCGACCCAAAAACUUACCAACUUGCGGUAACGAAUCACCAAAAGUGAGUUUCUAUAAACAUUUGUAAUAAUUUGAGUAGUAGUAAUACCUAUAAUAAUCAAUCCACAGGAAUUUUGUAACCCGUUUUCCUACCCUAUCUGGAAUAAAGUUCACAAAAUCUACACCGGUUCGUUUAUCGCCCAACAUCUUACAAAAUUCUUUUGUGGCACUUGUAUGAUGUCUGGAAAGGGCUCGAAGACUGGAUCUAGUAGGAUCGGUUCUGCCGGAACGUCCAACAAUCACCGGGAAGGAGGAACAAGCGCCACAGGCGCGGCAGCGGUAAUCCCAACUAGGGUGACCAUACCCGUGACCGCAGUAAGUACUCCAGGAAACAUCUCCAUUGUCGCUGCAAGUGCAUCAAAUGCAGCAGCGGUCGCGACGAGCGAAGCAGUGGACAUAUCGUACAAGGGAGUCGGUGCACUGCGCACUGCAGCGGAAGCGGUUAACAGUUCAACGGAUCUGGUAAAGGCAGGAAACCCCCCUCCUACCACGCAGGUAAAUGUUGACGUAGCCAAUAAACUUAAUUCUAAAGGAGCAAUUCCGAAGCAAACGGCUUCGAUUGCCGAGCAGGUGAGAAGGGCAUCUCUGUCAAAUCUACGCGGAAAGGUCGUUGUCAGGCGUAAUCCGUUCCGUCGCGCGCGUCCUAAUCGGUACAGAAGUUGUGAGUUGUGUGCAGAUAGUGACAAUAGUAGAAUGGUGCAGUGUGAUGGUUGCGAGAGAUGGUUCCACUUUACGUGUGUGGAAGUUACCGAAGGGACAGCCGAAAUCAGUUGGGUCUGUCCAGUGUGCUCGGCCGCACCGUACGAGACGGAGCAGUUAGUCCCUCCCAAAGACGUCCGAGUUGUGGUACAGGCAGAUAAUCCACCCCCAAUGGACAGCGGCGAAACAAAAUCAUGCGGAAAGAAGAGCAGCAAACGAAGCGAAAAACGGAAGCUGGAUUUGCGGUUGCAGAAACUUGAGGAGCAGAAGAAGUUGGAGCAGAAGUUCUUGGAGGAGAAGUUCAAAAUCUUGGAGGAGUGCGAAGGCGACAGCGAGACAGAUUUCGCCGACGAGGAUCUCGAGAAAAUGUCUAACAUUUCGCAAUGGAUCAGAGACACGGAACGCGGAGAAGCAGCCCAAGAUUCCGGCGUCGUUGAGGAGGAUCUGCAAGACGAGUAUGGACUUCCAGCUGUACUUACUGAACAGCGAGUACCAGUCGACCAACGACAGCCAGGCCAGCUACAUUUUUCGCAGGGAGGGCAGCGAAAUACAUUUCAUAUUCCCGAUUUCGCUCCCGAGCAACGCUCCACGCCACAGACGCGGCCGGCGAUUCGUUCAAUCAACCCAGCAGCGCAAUGUUUCCCUAUUCCUCCAGCGAGACCGCAGUCUCUCACGCGUCCACGGUUGACCGGUCCGGCAAUGGAACCAGAACCGAUCCCUACGGAAGAGACCAUUUGUAUUCUCAACCGGAGCCAGCUGGCCGCAAGACAAGCGGUCUCUAAAGACCUUCCGGAGUUCGCAGGUAACCCUGAGGAUUGGCCUCUGUUCUUUUCCAUGUACACUUCAUCAACGCAGAUGUGCGGUUUCUCGAAUGAGGAAAACAUGCUGCGUUUACGCAAGUGUUUGAAAGGAAAGGCACUAGAUGCCGUGAAAAGCCGCUUGCUGCAUCCUUCUAAUGUGUCUGGAGUUCUCUCAACGCUUAAGAUGCUGUACGGCAGGCCAGAAGCGAUCGUCCAAGCAGCUAUCAGGAAAAUUCGGUCACUUCCAUCCCCGGAAAUAGAUCGGCUAGAGAGUCUGGUCAACUUUGCGCUCACCGUCGAAAACCUUGUGGCAACAAUUGAAGUAUGCGGUGUACGUGACUUCGUGUAUAACGCUUCGCUCAAAUUCGAACUGGUUGAAAGAUUACCGCCGACGCUAAGAUUGGACUGGGCAAAGUAUACUCGAGGGAAUCCGGCCCCAAAUCUCUUGGACUUCAGUUCCUGGCUAUACUCCAUGGCGGAAGACGCGAGCGCAGUCAUGCAGACUUGCUCCACUGCUCCACGGAGUCGCAGUAACAAGAAAGACGCGUUUAUCAACGUCCACUCCGAGUCUCCCAAAGAUACGCGAGACCGAUCGCGAGAACCAUUCAAGGAAUGCUUCGUAUGCAAAGGUUCUUGUCCGGCAAUCGUAAAGUGCAAACGGUUCAGCGAACUGAGCUACGAGUCGAAAUGGUCGGUAAUACGGGAAGCGAAGCUGUGCCGUAAAUGCCUUCGUAAACAUAACGGCACAUGUCGGCAACAAAACAAAUGCGGAAUCAACGGGUGCACUUAUUUGCACCACCCUUUGCUGCAUAGCGAGAAAACUAGAAGCGACCCCGGAGCAGUAGCGGCAACGAAUUCCAGUUGCAACAUCCACCAAACUCAGACAAGCGAUGUCUUGUUCCGGAUUGCUCCAGUAGUCCUCCACGGUCCAGCGAAGACGGUUCGCACGUACGCUUUCAUCGACGACGGAUCCGAACUCUCACUCAUGGAGCGCUCUCUUGCGCAGGAGCUUGGACUGCAAGGAUCUCAGACGGCCCUCUGCUUGAAAUGGACAGGAGAUACCAGCAGAAUGGAGAACGAUUCUCAAAAGGUGGAGGUGACUGUCUCCCCUGCAAGAAAUACAUCCCAGAGGCAUAAACUUGCAGAUGUUCGCACUAUAAAGGAGCUUAAACUUAGGCCACAGACCUUGAUUGCUUCCGAAAUGCAAGGUCGGUACAGGCAUCUCGCUGGGAUACCCUUCGAUUCCUACAUUGAUGUGAGCCCACGGAUACUGAUCGGACUAGACAACGCACAGCUGGGACAUGCGUUCAAAAGUCGAGAAGGCAAGUCAUCUGAACCGAUCGCCGUCAAAACACGUCUAGGGUGGAUCGUGUACGGAAGUUGUUCAUCAAUUCAACAUCCUGAAAGUCACAUCAACUACCAUGCCGUACAAGUGUGUGAGUGCAAUGAGGCUUCCGAUGAAAGUCUCCACACAGCGAUGAAAAACUAUUUCACGCUUGACAGUAUGGGAAUCUCCAAACCUGAAAAGGCAUUACUCUCCGUAGACGACCAGCGUGCGAUGGAGAUUUUAGAAGCAGUAACACAGCGUAAAGACGGCCAUUAUGAAUCCGGUCUUCUCUGGAAGUACGACGCUGUGCGACUUCCUGACAGUAAGGCGAUGGCCUUGAGAAGAUGGGAGUGCCUGGAGCGACGCAUGAAGAAAGACGAUGAACUAGCGGGGGCUUUACGCACAAAAAUGACUGAUUAUGUCCAGAAGGGGUAUGUCCGUAAAUUGACCAGUGAAGAGCUGAAGGUCCGACAGCCGCGCGAGUGGUACUUGCCAGUGUUUCCGGUUUAUAAUCCUAACAAACCAGGAAAAUUGCGUUUGGUUUGGGAUGCAGCAGCAACAGCUCAUGGAAUCUCUUUAAAUUCGGUUUUAUUGAAGGGACCGGACCAGCUAACGUCCCUGCUGACUGUAUUGAUUCAGUUCCGGGAGUUCCGAGUUGCGGUAUGCGGAGACAUUCGGGACAUGUUUCACCAGGUUCUGAUGAGGAAGGAAGAUCAACAUUGUCUGAGGUUCUACUGGGAAGGAGAUACUCAAGGUAGCGCACCGAAUGUGUAUGCUAUGACAGUGAUGACGUUUGGUGCGUGCUGCUCACCCACGACAGCUCAAUACGUCAAAAACAUUGAUGCAAAGCGAUUCGAAGCCGAGUACCCGCAAGCUGUCGAAGCCAUUGUGAAAAAGCAUUACGUCGACGACAUGCUUGCCAGCGUAGAAACUGAGGAGGAAGCGGUGAAGUUAGCACAGGAUGUAAAACGCAUUCACGCCGCAGGAGGGUUUGAAAUGCGGAACUGGUUAUCCAAUUCGUCGAUUGUCCGAGAAUCCCUACAGGAAGACACUACUACAGAGAAGUACCUUGGGGCCGAAGAAGACAACUUUACCGAAAAAGUAUUAGGUCUUUGGUGGAACACAACUACCGACUGUUUCACGUUCAAGGUAUCUCAUCGAUACGACCAGGACCUGCUCUCCGGAUGCCGUCGACCUACCAAACGCGAGGUGCUUCGAACGCUAAUGAUGAUGUUUGACCCACUAGGUUUCAUCUCGCAUUUUCUCAUGUACCUGAAAGUAUUGAUGCAGGAGAUCUGGAGGUCGUCGAUUGACUGGGAUACCCCUAUUGAGGAACCGCAGUUUCAGAAGUGGCUGAUUUGGCUCAAAGUUCUACCAGAAGUAGAAAAUGUCCAGCUUCCACGAUGUUACAGACUUUCAGUGUCAAUGGAUAGCAGUUGCAACAUUCAGAUGCACACGUUCGUGGACGCGAGUGAGAGCGGAUUCGCGGCGGUUGUGUAUCUAAGGUUCGAACAAGGAGACGUUACAGAAACCGCUUUCGUCAGUGCAAAAACCAGAGUUGCUCCACUCAAAUUUCUCUCCAUCCCCCGCUCAGAACUGCAAGCCAGUAUUCUUGGUGUCCGGCUAGCAAACAGCGUUUCCCGGUCAUUGUCUGUUACGGUAAGGAAGCACUACUUUUGGACCGACUCACGGGAUGUCCUUUGCUGGCUGAACUCCGAUCAUCGAAGGUACAGUCAGUUCGUGGCAUUCCGGGUAAGCGAAAUCCUGGAGACGACAGAUGCGAAAGAAUGGCGUUGGGUUCCAACCAAACUAAACGUGGCCGACGAAGGAACCAAAUGGACGCGCCAACCUGAUCUCAGUGCCUCCAGCCGUUGGUUUCAAGGACCGGAAUUCCUACGAAAAUCUCAAGAAGAGUGGCCAGUUCCCUCCCAUCAUGGAGCGACGGACACGGAGAUUAGAGCGCAUCUGUUGACGCACGUUUCUACGGUGGAAUCCAUCAUUAAUCCUCAAAACUACUCGAAGUGGACUACGAUACUACGUACAACGGCGUUCGUGUUCCGGUAUAUAAACAACUCUAGGCCGAUGAUGAAGCAACGAACCGGAGGACCGUUGACGCAGCAGGAGUUAGCAAGAGCAGAGAACUUUCUGUAUCGCCUUGCCCAGAGUGACGAGUACGCAGAAGAAAUGGCUAUCCUUUUUAAUAACCGCUUGUGUGAAACGGAUAAGCAAUCUAUACCCAAGAGCAGUUCUAUUGCUUAUUUCUGCCCCUUUCUCGAUGAAUCCGACGUGUUAAGGGUUCGGGGCCGAACCGGUGCCUGCCCGUUGAUCGACUACGAUGCAGUUAACCCCAUCAUUCUGCCUCGUGCCCAUCGGGUCACACAUUUGAUUCUUCUGCAAUAUCACCGCAAAUAUCACCACCAAAACCACAACACUGUUCUCAACGAGAUUCGUCAACGAUACAGGAUCCCACGCCUGAAGUCUACAUACAACACAAUCCGGAAGCAGUGCCAGGAAUGCAUGAAUGCUAGGGCAACGCCACAGCCUCCAGCCAUGAGUGACCUUCCGGCAGCCCGUCUUGCUGCCUUUUCUCGUCCGUUCACUCACAUGGGGGUGGAUUACUUCGGCCCGGUCUUAGUCACAGCCAACCGUAAAACUGAGAAACGCUGGGUUUUACUAGCCACCUGCCUAACCAUCCGCGCCAUCCACUUGCAAGUCGCACACACUCUCAGUACCGAUUCCUGCAUUAUGGCUCUUCGAAACGUCAUUGGUAGGAGGGGCACGCCGGCAGUCAUCUAUAGUGACCAAGGUACCAACUUCCGGGGUGCUAGCAAGGAGCUAAAGAAUGCUAUGGACAAUCUUGACCGUGAACGGCUGAAGGCCGAGUUCACGACUACCCACACUACUUGGAUUUUCAACCCACCAGCCUCUCCGCACAUGGGCGGAGCUUGGGAGCGUCUCGUUCGCACAGUCAAGCAAAACCUCAAUAAGCUGCUACCAAAUCGUACAUUGUCCUACGAAGUUCUUGAGAAUCUUCUCAUCGAAGUUGAAAAUGUGGUCAACUCCCGGCCGCUAACCAGUAUCCCGGUGGAAGAUGAUGAAUCCCCUGUACUGACCCCAAACCACUUCCUACUUGGAUCGUCCAAUGGUUUGAGAUCGUGGGUACCUCUUGACAGUAGCCCCCCGGCACUCAAACACUGUUGGCACCUCUCUCAGAGCUUGGCCAACCAAUUCUGGACCCAAUGGUUGCGAGAUUACCUGCCGUCGAUCACUCGUCGAACCAAAUGGCUUAACCCAACAAAGCCCAUUGAAGUCGGCGACAUAGUUGUAAUUGUGGACCCAAGCUUUCCGCGCAACUGUUGGCCGAAAGGACGUGUAAUAUCUACGAAACCCGGAGCCGACGAUCAAGUAAGGUGGGCCACCGUCCAGACUACAAGCGGGAUCUAUGAGCGUCCAGCCGUGAAGCUCGCCGUUCUAGACGUAGGCGUCUGUAAGGAUACACCUCAGGAUAGCCACCGGUGCAUCCCGGGGGGGAGUGUUGAUUUCGCUACGUACAGAGAUCCGACGAGCCCCAAUGUCCCCACUCUUAUGAACGUGAACGAAUAAACGUGUCCACACCCGAGCCAUACAAAGAGGAUCGCCGAUAGCGUGUAAGGUCGUGGACCGGAGAAUUGAUCUACGAAAACAGCGAUCAAUCAUAACAAAUUAGCCAUUGUGAAGAUCAUAUGUGCAUAUAUUGACCCUUAGCUAAAUUGCGAAGUUAAACUUAUCCUAUUAUUGAUCAGAUUGUAUCUACAAAUCUAAAUCUACAUACUAUCCAAAACAGGUAUAGUAAUACCGUUGAAUUAAAGAUUGCGCCACAAUUUAACAUGCAAAUAGAAGAUGCAAAGUUUAACCCAUGUUAUACUACCUUACAGUGAAGUCCGGCGGUAUUUGGCAUAACAGGGUACUGAACUAAAGUAGUUAUACUUAAUAUCUACUUAUGCUAAGGUAUCCGCUCGAAUUCUGUGACUGGAAAAAUUAGAGGAAACUUUCCUUUUAUCAUCUCUAGAAUAACUGUGGUGAGACUAUUUUUUCUCAGUGAUAUUCAAACUUGAGUUCUUAUAAUAACUAUAUUGUGUAGGCACUCAUCCAGAGAAAUAGUUGUACUCCGACCCAAAAACUUACCAACUUGCGGUAACGAAUCACCAAAAGUGAGUUUCUAUAAACAUUUGUAAUAAUUUGAGUAGUAGUAAUACCUAUAAUAAUCAAUCCACAGGAAUUUUGUAACCCGUUUUCCUACCCUAUCUGGAAUAAAGUUCACAAAAUCUACACCGGUUCGUUUAUCGCCCAACA